CUCCACACUUUUCAUCAUUCUCCAAUAAAGAAAGCAUCCAAAGGAAGAAAGUGACAAUCUUUGUGGGGUAUGAAAACCUAAUUUAAACACCCAAAAUCAUCAUUGUGUACUAAAAACACAUACAAGUACCAGCACAUGUGGGAAAAACUGACCAGGUUCAAUGCACCUUCCACAGCACUAUUCACUAUUUCUAGCUUAAUACUCCUAUGCUCCAAAGCUUCAAAAAAUUAGCUGAUAUUCCAAAUAUGGCACCCAUUUUCCCUUAGUUGAAGAGAAGAAGAUCUAAAAAGUAACAUUCCAAAAUUAAUCAUGGGAGGAAAGGAAUAUCAGCUGCUGCCUUUAUUUGAUGGAAGGAAGAUUAAGGUUAAAAAUAAAGAUGCCAAUAAUUAAUGGUGUUUAUGAAGAGCCAAGCAGUUUGGAUAAAUCUCUACAUUUGGAGAACUGAGAGAUUUUAUGUUGAUCUGUUCUUGAGUUCCCCUUCAAAACUUCACUACUUUUACAAUAUAUCUAAAUAAUUUUAGAAUAUUUCUCAUUUUGUUUCAUGUUGUGGAUCCUCAAAUUAUGGGUUAGCCAUUAAUAAACUUACUUAUUUUGGAAA